AUGGCGACCCAAACCAAGACGUCUUUCCCGACGGAGCAACUUGUUGUUCUUGUCAGUGAACAUGUUGAGUUGUAUGACAUGACCAACAAAUUAUACCACAACAUUUAUCACAAGGAGAGUAUCUGGAGGACGAUCGGUGGGAUUUUGGGACAUAAGUGGGAGGAUUGCCGUGACAAAUGGAAAUACCUUAGAGGCAAGUACGGCAAAGAAAGAAAGGAAAUGAAGGAGAGGAGGAGUGGAUCGGAGGGAGGACAUAAACACAGUUGGAAAUAUGUAAAAAUUCUAUCUUUCCUGGAGCCUUAUGUCCAGGAAAGGCUCACAAUUAGUAACUUCGACCAGCCAAGCCAGACAGCAGAGAGCAUUUUGAAUGCAAUGUGUGAAAACAAUGAGACUACAUUGGAUGACACAAUCAGUAGUCAACCUGGGUCUGGUUCUUUAAAUGGCAGUUCAUCAAGGCCCCCACCCCAUUCAUCUAGGCCCCCACCCUCUCCAUCUCCACCCCCACAACCACCUCAACAAGAACAGCAGCAGGAAUUCGGGCCCAUGAGAGUACAAAGAGGGAGGAAGAGGCAGGCCACUGCGACCAUAACCCCCUACCAGCAACAGGUCCUCAGUGCCCUUGCGAAAGAGGAGAAUGAGCAUGAGCGUUUCCUAUUGAGCUUUGCACCCACACUGGCAAGGUUGGAGCCUCGCAAACAGGCAUUGCUAAAGUGUAGAAUGCAGUCCCUGUUUUAUGACAUCGAGUUUGGAGAAUAA
rnacentral:lncRNA from 1 species